GGCCCAAUGGUCUAGACGUAUGAUACACGCUUCGGGUCUUCCCGCUUACUUAUGUAAGUGCAAUGUGUGUGGUCCCGGGUUCAAUUCCCGGUUGGGCCC